UACGAAGGGGGCUAGCGUUGCUCGGAAUCACUGGGCGUAAAGGGUGCGUAGGCGGGUCUUUAAGUCAGGGGUGAAAUCCUGGAGCUCAACUCCAGAACUGCCUUCGAUACUGGCGAUCUCGAGUUCGGGAGAGGUGAGUGGAACUGCGAGUGUAGAGGUGAAAUUCGUAGAUAUUCGCAAGAACACCAGUGGCGAAGGCGGCUCACUGGCCCGAUACUGACGCUGAGGUGCGAAAGCGUGGGGAGCAAACAGG
rnacentral:rRNA from 1 species